rnacentral:rRNA from 1 species
GAUGAACGCUAGCUACAGGCUUAACACAUGCAAGUCGAGGGGCAGCAUGGUCUUAGCUUGCUAAGGCCGAUGGCGACCGGCGCACGGGUGAGUAACACGUAUCCAACCUGCCGUCUACUCUUGGACAGCCUUCUGAAAGGAAGAUUAAUACAAGAUGGCAUCAUGAGUCCGCAUGUUCACAUGACUAAAGGUAUUCCGGUAGACGAUGGGGAUGCGUUCCAUUAGAUAGUAGCGGGGUUAACGGCCCACCUAGUCUUCGAUGGAUAGGGGUUCUGAGAGGAAGGUCCCCCACAUUGGAACUGAGACACUUCCGGGGAAACUCCUACGGG